AACAUAAACUGGAACUGCACCAAGCAAUUGAUUUUGCCACAUUGAAGAAGAUGUUCAAAACAAAUUUGGAGCGGAGAGCCUGCAGAUUUGUACCAGAGACACUUGAACAAUCAAAGAGCAAGGAGGACGAGCUCUACAGAGAUCUCCAAGGAAGCCGGUGCUAUUAUCCAUCGAGAAACCAAACCGGCAGCACCACACCCUAGCGAAGGCGAGCCCCGGCAUCGGCCGGCGGCGUCGGUGGCGCUAGAGCCCUAGACGGGUCUGAUGCAUCUGUUUUUUAAGACAAUACUGCGUCUGGUGUUGUGGAAGUGAGUAGACGAAAAAGCAACAGGAAGUGCUCGUGGGCUGGAACGGCCAGAUGGAUUCAAUUAGGCCUUUACAUUUUGUCCAGUCACUAUUCUAACAGACCAGGAAGACCAAAGUGGGCCUAGCAAAUGUAAAUAUCGCAUCGAGCAACAUUUUUUCUUCUUCUUUUCGGAAGGGGCAAUUCCCCAUAGCGGAUUUUA